GUGUCAGCCGCCGCGGUAAUACGAGAGGCCCAAACGUUAUUCGGAAUCACUGGGCUUAAAGAGUUCGUAGGCGGCGCGGAAAGUGGGGUGUGAAAGCCCUCGGCUCAACCGAGGAAUUGCGCUCCAAACUGUCGCGCUUGAGGAAGCUAGAGGUAAGCAGAACUGAUGGUGGAGCGGUGAAAUGCGUUGAUAUCAUCAGGAAUACCGGAGGCGAAGGCGGCUUACUGGGACUUUUCUGACGCUGAGGAACGAAAGCUAGGGGAGCAAACGGGAUUAGAAACCCCCGUAGUCC
rnacentral:rRNA from 1 species